rnacentral:rRNA from 1 species
GCAGCCGCCGCGGGAAUACAGAGGGUGCGAGCGUUAAUCGGAUUUACUGGGCGUAAAGCGUGCGUAGGCGGCUUUUUAAGUCGGAUGUGAAAUCCCUGAGCUUAACUUAGGAAUUGCAUUCGAUACUGGGAAGCUAGAGUAUGGGAGAGGAUGGUAGAAUUCCAGGUGUAGCGGUGAAAUGCGUAGAGAUCUGGAGGAAUACCGAUGGCGAAGGCAGCCAUCUGGCCUAAUACUGACGCUGAGGUACGAAAGCAUGGGGAGCAAACAGGAUUAGAGACCCCUGUAGUCCCUGUCUCUUAUAC